rnacentral:lncRNA from 1 species
GGCAGAGUACGACCGCUCACAUUUCUGCGAGGGGCUGCUUAAAAAUAGGGGGGUCCUUGUGAAGCAGCUGCCCGCGUUUCCAAAGCACGUAUGGUGUUGGAUUGUAAGGUGCCCAAGUACGUUUGCGAGGAAGAGAAUGUGGCCAGGCUGGAGAGGAAAGUGCAGUGGCAUAUUGGAAUGUGAGAUUAGCGUAAGCGAGUUACAGGGUGUUUGGUGCACGGGCGAAUUUACGUGCAUAUCUUUCACCGUAGCAUCAGUCCUCAGUUCACUUCUUGGAACGAACAUCAUCAUAGGUCCAAGCCCUCUCGCUUGGAGGGAUAUGCAAACAAACAUCCUGAUAAGGGUAAACUCGCACGCUAGCGAGCAUUCAACCGAGCACAUGCAUGCUUAGUUGAAUGGUGAGAUGCGACCCCCCCUUCAUUUCGUGCUCGGCAAGCCUGCCACCGCGUACCGAAUAUGUUGGCGAUGUUACAGAGACGCUGCACCUUGGUUUCUGUGCGCAAUGCGUACGAUGCUCGACCCCGCCGACCAAAACUACACGUGCCCAACUGAAGACAUUACCGGUGGUUGUGCAGCAGCUCUUGAGGCUGUUGCUGGCUGAAAUCCAUCCUGAGCUGUUGCAACACGGCUAACGCGGGCACGUCCCUAUGCAGAGCAAAUAGCUGUUCCAAGCCAACAGCGGCGUCCAUGUCACCGACAAGGCUCUAAACGUCUCAUCUGUUCUUAUGUUUAAUUAAGUUUAUGUAUGUUAUGCUUUGCGCAACUUUGUAAUUUGACUUUACUCUGAACAAGGUGCUGUAUACGUUGCACUACCAAAAACGCGACCGUUUGCUUGCACACAACUGCCUCUUCGCCAGACGCUUCCUCUUCCCGCGGCAGUUUCACGAGCCCAGUGUUGCAAGCUACGACGUAUGCUUUCAUAUCUUUUCAUAUCUUAUUCGGCUCAGGCUAAGCAGCCAGCCAAAAGUCCGAGAUGCAUGCCGCUUGUGACUGCGGCCAACAUGCCCUGAUGAGCGGCCUUUCGCCGAAAAAAUUACAUACACUUUUACAGGCGCAUUUUGAGAAUUGAACGCGCGCAUCCGCACGAUAAAUUUCGCGCCUGGCUCUUGGGGCGUCAUGUACGGACCUUUUAUUCGCGAAGUACGACCGGACACAUUUGUGCGAGAGGCUGCUUAAAUAGACGACUAGAAAUAGGGGGUUCCUUGUGAAGCAGCUGCCCGCGUUUCCUAAGCACGUAUGGUGUUGGAUUGUAAGGUGCCCAAGUACGUUUGCGAGGAAGAGAAUGUGGCCAGGCUGGAGAGGAAAGUGCAGUGGCAUAUUGGAAUGUGAGAUUAGCGUAAGCGAGUUACAGGGCGUUUGGCGCACGUUUGGCGCACCGUAGCAUCAGUCCUCAGUUCACUUCUUGGAACGAACAUCAGCAUAGGUCCAAGCCCUCUCGCUUGGAGGGAUAUGCAAACAAACAUCCUGAUAAGGGUAAACUCGCACGCUAGCGAGCAUUCAACCGAGCACAUGCAUGCUUAGUUGAAUGGUGAGAUGCGACCCCCCCUUCAUUUCGUGCUCGGCAAGCCUGCCACCGCGUACCGGAUAUGUUGGCGAUGUUACAGAGACGCUGCACCUUUGUUUCUGUGCGCAAUGCGUACGAUGCUCGACCCCGCCGACCAAAACUACACGUGCCCAACUGAAGACAUUCCCGGUGGUUGUGCAGCAGCUCUUGAGGCUGUUGCUGGCUGAAAUCCAUCCUGAGCUGUUGCAACACGGCUAACGCGGGCACAUCCCUAUGCACAGCAAAUAGCUGUUCCAAGCCAACAGCGGCGUCCAUGUCACCGACAAGGCUCUAAACGUC